CAGAGGCCCCUAAGCGUUACUGAGAAUCGACUGGGUUUAAAGGGUGCGUAGGUGGCGCGUUAAGUCCGUUGUGAAAGCCCUGGGCUCAACCCAGGAACUGCUUCGGAUACUGGCGCGCUUGAGGCUAGUAGGGGUCACUGGAACUGACGGUGGAGCGGUGAAAUGCGUAGAUAUCGUCAGGAACGCCAAUGGUGAAGACAGGUGACUGGGCUAGUUCUGACACUGAGGCACGAAAGCGUGGGGAGCGAACGGGAUUAGAUACCCCGGUAGUCCACGCCCUAAACGAUGCAGACUAGACUGCAGCGGGUUACACCCCGUUGCGGUCGGAGCGAAAUUGUUAAGUCUGCCACCUGGGAAGUACGGUCGCAAGGCUA
rnacentral:rRNA from 1 species